CAGGAGUAUAAAAUGAAUGUCCUUGGCUGCCCUGUCCAGCUAAGAAGCUACCAGCCAACCCCUGGGUAGAGCUUCACCAGUAAUAGUUUGCCUGGACUGCCUGAGACUCCCAGUUCCUCACCAGAAAUAGCAGAGUAGAUGGUGUCUAAACAGAUCAAUUGGAAAGUUUUCAGACCCAGGAGGCUGAAGAUCGUAAAAUGAUCCAUUUGUCAUUGUUUCCUACAAAAAAAAAAAACAUGAGUGUAUACCAUGUGCCAGGUACUAUUUUGAGUCGGUAUCUGGCUUCUGGCAAUCCCUAAUUCCUUUUCUACCCAUGAUAGAGAAAGGAGGAAAGAAUGAAUGAAUGAGAGCCCACAAGAGACCAGGAGAGAGAAAAUGCAGAGAGAAAGCCAUAAACCUUAUUUUUAUAAAUAGCAUCUUGGAUAGGUUCUUCGCAAGGAAAGAAUUCUUGCCAACUUCAAUUCAGGAAAAACAGGCUGAGCAUCUGUGAUCGUUCAUGCACAGGCUAAAUGCUCAAGACAACUAAGGAUCAACCCCUGCUCUGUAGCAGCUCAUGGUCAACAGACAGGGUUAUCUGAUACUAGCAGUGUGGGUGUCCUCCUGUAACCUGUAAGAUACUCUGUGGAAAGUUACCUUUUAUCAGAGCCCAAAACCAUAGUAGUUAUUGUUCAGACUUACUUAUUCUAAGACACUAAGUUAAAAUUGCAAAAAAAGAAAUGGUAAAUGACGAGUCUGUAAUACAUUCAAUGUAGAGAUGGGGCAGCCCUCCCUUUAAUUGUUCAGCUGUCAAGGAGCUUAAGUUGCAUUGAAAAUGGGUCUGCUUUGAGCUAAGAACAUCUGUCUAGUCCUGGCCUUGGAGGACCUUGUCAAAUUUAGCCAUGUAUUGACCAAUGGGUGAUUCUGUUUCAGAACCACCACUGGAGCAGAUACAUCUAGAAAUCAUUACCAGGUGGCCAGGGAUCAGGGCUGCUGUGUGCUCGCCUGUGCACCUUAGACUAUCGUAAAAAAAACCUGUACAUUGUCGCAGCUAAAGGUACACCAGAGGUGGCUCUUAUGUUACUUGAAAGUGUUUUAUAAACACAGAUCACACCAACAUCUGAGUAAUCAAAGACUAUCUGCUUUAAACAAGACAUUCUGAUGCUUUUUUUUCCCCUGAGGACCACCCUGAAAAAAGGCACCUAUUAAUGGGACAUUUCAAAGUGUAACUGUUUUAUAUAAAAUGUAUUACUUGCAGCCAG
rnacentral:lncRNA from 1 species